UGUUUUAAGCAGGAUGGGAAUUCAGAGUUAUGAUGGGAUUGUUGAGUGAAUCCCUAAGUCCCAGCUCACCAUUUACUCACAAAAGAACUUAACCCCUUUGCCCAUCACCAUUGUCUCCCCUAAUUUUGUCUCUUCUUUUAGGCUAAAAUAUCUAAAGCACAAAGAUGCUAUUCUUGAUUGGUCACUGUUGUGCAUAGAAGGCCUCAUCAGUCAAAAAUCUGAAUAUUGUUGCCUUGUUUUUGCUUUUAUACAUACUUUUGAUCCAAGUGUUUGGAAUUCAAAUCAAACCGUGAACCCAGUUGGC
rnacentral:misc_RNA from 1 species